rnacentral:rRNA from 1 species
UACGUAGGGCGCAAGCGUUGUCCGGAAUUAUUUGGCGUAAAGAGCUCGUAGGCGGCUUGUCACGUCGGGUGUGAAAGCCCGGGGCUUAACCCCGGGUCUGCAUUCGAUACGGGCUAGCUAGAGUGUGGUAGGGGAGAUCGGAAUUCCUGGUGUAGCGGUGAAAUGCGCAGAUAUCAGGAGGAACACCGGUGGCGAAGGCGGAUCUCUGGGCCAUUACUGACGCUGAGGAGCGAAAGCGUGGGGAGCGAACAGG